rnacentral:rRNA from 1 species
GACGAACUGUGCAAACGUUAUUCGGAAUCACUGGGCUUAAAGGGUGCGUAGGCGGUCUCAUAAGUAGGGUGUGAAAGCCCCCGGCUCAACCGGGGAACUGCGUCCUAAACUGCGAGGCUUGAGUGAGGUAGGGGUGUGUGGAACUUCCAGUGGAGCGGUGAAAUGUGUUGAUAUUGGAAGGAACGCCGGUGGCGAAAGCGACACACUGGACCUUGUCUGACGCUGAGGCACGAAAGCCAGGGGAGCAAACGGG